CACGUCAGCGCGACCUGCUGACGUGGAAGGAAAUCGCGCCCCUAAGGACACGAUUUCCUUCCACGUCAACAGGUCGCGUUGACGUGG
rfam:Gossypium hirsutum cultivar TM-1 chromosome 7, whole genome shotgun sequence